rnacentral:rRNA from 1 species
AGGCCGAAAGGCGUAGUCGAUGGGAAACAGGUUAAUAUUCCUGUACUUGGUGUUACUGCGAAGGGGGGACGGAGAAGGCUAUGUUAGCCGGGCGACGGUUGUCCCGGUUUAAGCAUGUAGGCUGGUUGUCCAGGCAAAUCCGGAUAAUCAAGGCUGAGGUGUGAUGACGAGGCACUACGGUGCUGAAGUAACAAAUGCCCUGCUUCCAGGAAAAGCCUCUAAGCAUCAGGUAACAU